ACGGAAGGUGCAAGCGUUAUCCGGAAUCACUGGGUUUAAAGGGUGCGUAGGCGGCGUAAUAAGUCAGAGGUGAAAGCUCACAGCUUAACUGUGGAACUGCCUUUGAUACUGUUAUGCUUGAAUUAGGUUGAGGUUGGCGGAAUGAGUCAUGUAGCGGUGAAAUGCAUAGAUAUGACUUAGAACAUCGAUUGCGAAGGCAGCUGACUAGACCUUAAUUGACGCUGAGGCACGAAAGCGUGGGGAGCGAACAGG
rnacentral:rRNA from 1 species